GACGAACGCUGGCGGCGUGCUUAACACAUGCAAGUCGAACGAAGAGCGACGGAAGCUUGCUUCUAUCAAUCUUAGUGGCGAACGGGUGAGUAACGCGUAAUCAACCUGCCCUUCAGAGGGGGACAACAGUUGGAAACGACUGCUAAUACCGCAUACGAUCUAAUCUCGGCAUCGAGGAUAGAUGAAAGGUGGCCUCUACAUGUAAGCUAUCACUGAAGGAGGGGAUUGCGUCUGAUUGGCUAGUUGGAGGGGUAACGGCCCACCAAGGCGAUGAUCAGUAGCCGGUCUGAGAGGAUGAACGGCCACAUUGGGACUGAGACACGGCCCAGACUCCUACGGGAGGCAGCAGUGGGGAAUCUUCCGCAAUGGACGAAAGUCUGACGGAGCAACGCCGCGUGAGUGAUGACGGCCUUCGGGUUGUAAAGCUCUGUUAAUCGGGACGAAAGGCCUUCUUGCGAAUAGUGAGAAGGAUUGACGGUACCGGAAUAGAAAGCCA
rnacentral:rRNA from 1 species